rnacentral:lncRNA from 1 species
AUGAGUAUAGGGUUUGAUUCAAUAAUAGCUGUCAAGUGUGCAGGCUGUAAUUGUACUACUGCUCACAGGCAAGAGUUCUGAAGCCAGAUGACAAAAAAGAAACUUUUCACCAUGGUGGUCUCAGAUGAGAAAUGAAGCCUUGGCAAGAAAUCUGACUUCAUUGCGGUCCCAUCAAGCUAUGUCCAAAAACAAGACAGCAGUUUAGAGAUAAAUGCUAUUAAUUCUGAUGUAAAAUUCUUAGUCUUUUGGAAAAUCAAAACAGUACUUUCUGACUCUGCUACUUGACAUCUCAGGAAACAACCUCAGG